rnacentral:rRNA from 1 species
AUUGCACAAUGGGGGGAACCCUGAUGCAGCAACGCCGCGUGAGUGAAGAAGGCCUUCGGGUUGUAAAGCUCUGUCUUAGCUGACGAUAAUGACGGUAAGCUAGGAGGAAGCCACGGCUAACUACGUGCCAGCAGCCGCGGUAAUACGUAGGUGGCGAGCGUUGUCCGGAAUUACUGGGCGUAAAGGGUGCGUAGGCGGCUAUUUAAGUGGGAUGUGAAAACCAUGGGCUUAACUCAUGACGUGCAUUCCAAACUGGGUAGCUAGAGUGCAGGAGAGGAAAGCGGAAUUCCCAGUGUAGCGGUGAAAUGCGUAGAGAUUGGGAGGAACACCAGUGGCGAAGGCGGCUUUCUGGACUGUAACUGACGCUGAUGCACGAGAGCGUGGGGAGCAAACA